UGAGCAAUCUGCCCUUCUCAUCGGAAUAAGCGUUGGAAACGACGUCUAAUGCCGAAUACGACCUCCUUUCGCAUGAUCGGAGGUGGAAAGCUCCGGCGGAGAAGGAUGAGCUCGCGGCCUAUCAGCUAGUUGGUGUGGGUAAUGGCCCACCAAGGCGACGACGGGUAGCCGGCCAGAGAGGGUGACCGGCCACACUGGGACUAAGACACGGCCCAGACCUCCUACGGGAGGNAG
rnacentral:rRNA from 1 species